rnacentral:tRNA from 1 species
GCUAGGGUGGUGCAAUGGUCAGAAUAUUGGACUAGGAUUUUGGAGGCCUGGGUUUGAAUCCCUGCUCUGCCU